AUUGAACGCUGGCGGCAGGCCUAACACAUGCAAGUCGAGCGAGCGGCGGACGGGUGAGUAAUGUCUGGGAAACUGCCUGAUGGCGGGGGAUAACUACUGGAAACGGUAGCUAAUACCGCAUACCAUCGGAUGUGCCCAGAUGGGAUUAGCUAGUAGGUGGGGUAAAGGCUCAACUAGGCGACGAUCCCUAGCUGGUCUGAGAGGAUGACCGUCCACACUGGAACUAAGACACGGUCCAGACUCCGACGGGAGGCAGCGGAGGGGAAUAUUGCACAAUGGGGGCAAGCCUGAUGCAGCCAUGCCGCGUGUAUGAAGAAGGCCUUCGGGUUGUAAGGUACUUUCAGCGGGGAGGCGUUACCCGCAGAAGAAGCACCGGCUAACUCCGUGCCAGCAGCCGCGGUAAUUC
rnacentral:rRNA from 1 species